AUAUUAUCAUUUCAACAUGUAUACAAUAUUUAAAAAUCAUGAACAGCAUAUUUUAUAUUCUUUUUCAUAGUUUUCAGAGUUCCACAUGCAUUUUAUAUCCACGACACAACUCAGUGCAGACCAGUCAUGCCUCAGAUGCUCAGUAGCCACAUGCGGCUAGAGGCUUUCAUAAGAGACAUCAAAAUUCAAGAGCUAAUAAAGUAUUCAUGAUUAAUUGCCCCUUCAUUAAACUGGAGCGGGUACUUAAAUAUUUUAACUUCACAUGUCGACUUUACCUGUUUUUUCACUUUUCUCCCUCACUCUCAGGCAGCCCUUUUUCCUCCAGUGUUUCCUACCACCAAGUCAUUAUUCACAUAGUCAAUGGGUUAGGUCAUAGUAAGUGCAAAUUAAAGCAAAGGUGUGGGGAGCAGAGGGCUCAGCCUGGUGAUGGUGGCAUCUGUGAGGUCUGAGAGAAAGAAAGAGAAGUCAAAGAUGACUUCAGCAUUUUGUUUUGAUUUGUUUGGGGGCACAGGGGUUGCUGAACAACUGAAAAAAAUGGACUUUCCAUGUAUUCCAGGGCAGUUAUUAUUCUGGGUUAUUUACCCAAGUUAUCCAUAAUCUUCAUGUCAACCCAAACCUGCAGGCAAGAUGGCAGAACCAAGAGGAUAAGCAAGAUCCUGCCUGCCCCUCAGCCCUCUGCAUCACACGCAGUAGCACCUCCAUAACCUUGAGCCAUAAUAGUUUCCUUUUAUGAAUGACUUAGCAUGUUUCAGGCACAGUACUAAACUGUUUUACAGUAGUUUUCCCAUGUAAUCCUCAAAACAACUCCAUCAGAAAGGUGUUCUUUUUCUAAGGCCUCCUCUGCCCCUGCAGAAGCACCAGCACCAGCUGGGCUGCAUCUUUGCUUUGCGUCCCUCUUCCAAACUUCUUAAAGCCAACUCCCUCCAACUUCCUUUUUGGUCCUUCACUCUUAGGGUUAAUAACUGCUUCCUGGAUGUACUGUCCCCCCCUUUUUUUUCUUUUUCUUUUUGCCUUUGCAGCUCUCACAUGUAACCAAUUCACACUAUUCUAUAUGUUAAAAUAACUAGGGUGGUUUAUUUUUUUUUAUUUCAUUUUUUUUAUUACUCAAAUGAAUUUAUCACAUCUGUAGUUGUAUAAUGAUCACAACAAUCUGAUUUCACAGGAUUUCCAUCCCACAGCCCAAGCACAUCCCCCCCCCCAAAUGUCUCCUCUGGAGACCAUAAGUUUUUCAAUGUCUGUGAGUCAGCAUCUGUUCUGCAAAGAAGUUCCGUCUGUCCUUUUUUGAGAUUCCACAUGUCAGUGAAAGCAUUUGAUGUUGGUGUCUCAUUGUAUGGCUGACUUCACUUAGCAUGAUAGUGUCUAGGUCCAUCCAUGUUGCAGAAAAUGCUGGUAUUUCAUUCAUUUUAAUGGCUGAGUAAUAUUCCCUUGUGUAUAUGUACCACAUCUUCUGGAUCCACUCCUCUGUCGAUGGACAUUUAGGUUGUUUCCAUGUCUUGGCUACUGAAAAAGAGUGCUGCGAUGAACAUUGGAGUACACGUGUCUUUGCGAGUCAUGGUUUUCUCUGGAUAGAUGCCCAGGAGUGGGAUUGCUGGAUCAAAUGGUAGUUCUAUGUUUAGUUUUCUGAGGAAUCCCCAUACUGCUUUCCACAGUGGUUGCACCAAUUGACAAUCCCACCAACAGUGUACUAGGGUUCCUUUUUCUCCACACCCUCUCCAG
rnacentral:lncRNA from 1 species